rnacentral:rRNA from 1 species
AGCAGCCGCGGUAAUUCCAGCUCCAAUAGCGUAUAUUAAAGUUGUUGCAGUUAAAAAGCUCGUAGUUGAAUUUCGGGAUUGGCGCAUCGGUCGUGCCUCACGGGGUAUGAACUGGUGCAGUCAAUUUCUCACCUUCUGGAGAACCGCGAUGUCCUUAAUUGGAUGCCGCGGGGAACCAGGACCUUUACUUUGAAAAAUUAGAGUGUUUAAAGCAGGCAUUUUUGCUUGAAUACAUUAGCAUGGAAUAAUAAAAUAGGACGGCAUGGUUCUAUUUUGUUGGUUUCUAGGACCACCGUAAUGAUUAAUAGGGAUAGUUGGGGGCAUUAGUAUUCAAUUGUCAGAGGUGAAAUUCUUGGAUUUAUUGUAAGACUGACUACUGCGAAAGCAUUUGCCAAGGAUGUUUUCAUUAAUCAAGAACGAAAGUUAGGGGAUCGAAGACGAU